rfam:Manacus vitellinus contig3273, whole genome shotgun sequence.
CCCCUGGUGGUCUAGUGUUUAGGAUGCGGCCCUCUCACCGCCGUGGCCCGGGUUCGAUUCCCGGUCAGGGAA